GUGGGGAAUAUUGGGCAAUGGGCGCAAGCCUGACCCAGCAACGCCGCGUGAGGGAAGAAGGCUUUCGGGUUGUAAACCUCUGUCCUUGGUGACGAAACAAAUGACGGUAGCCAAGGAGGAAGCCCCGGCUAACUACGUGCCAGCAGCCGCGGUAAUACGUAGGGGGCGAGCGUUGUCCGGAAUUACUGGGCGUAAAGGGUGCGUAGGUGGCCUUUUAAGUUGGAUGUGAAAUACCCGGGCUUAACUUGGGGGGUGCAUCCAAAACUGGGAGGCUAGAGUGCAGGAGAGGAAAGCGGAAUUCCUAGUGUAGCGGUGAAAUGCGUAGAUAUUGGGAGGAACACCAGUGGCGAAGGCGGCUUUCUGGACUGUCACUGACGCUGAGGCGCGAAAGCCAGGGGAGCGAACGGGAUUAGAUACCCGAGUAGUCC
rnacentral:rRNA from 1 species